GAGGGUAUAGCUCAGUGGUAGAGUGAGUGCCUAGCCUGCACAAGAUCCUGGGUUUAAUCCCCAGUACCUCCA
rnacentral:tRNA from 1 species